AUAGAGGAAACUUGACAUUUUUCGUUACAAAUGGCGUCGUAAACGCAAGGAUAUCUAGAACAAGGAAGUACCAUAAUGAUUUCCAUUUGUUACAGUUGAAGAAAGGUAUCUUCAACACUAUCUUGUACAUGACAUUCAUAGAAGAGUUUUAGGCGUGAAAUUUGAAAAGAAAUCUAGAUUCAGCAUGUAUUCGAGCAGGUUUGUACAUCCGGUGUUCGAUGAACUGAAUUUAGAAGACGAAGAAAGGUACAUCGUAAGAGAAAUAAUGAACCACUUUCAGCCUCCACUACACCAUAACCCUGGAGGAGCUCUUGUUGUUAUCCUUUUAACAAUUCUAGCUAACGUCUAUUUGUUCGUGGCUAUUUUAGUCACGAAAAAUAUCAAAAAACCUGCUAGAGUUUUAAUUGGAAGUAGCCAGAGGAUUAUCCGAAGUUCUACUGUUAUUAUCAAUUGUCUUACAAAGAACGAGGAACA